CAUAAACAUAAAUUCGUGAUCAUCUAAGCUUGGAGAUCAUAAGUUUGACGCUUGACAAGCUAGGUGGAAGCUUGGGAAGAAGCGGGUCAAGAAGAUCAAUUACGCAGGAAAAACAAAAUCGGAUGCAAGGUUAUAAUUGGAGUACCGGAUGACGAUCAAGCUCAACGAAGAACCGAACACGACCAAGUUAAAGCUUCCGCACACUGUUUCGUCGUCAUUUAUAAAUGACGAACUUAUACAUAUUAUGUUGUCUUGUUUUUAUUGAGAAAAGUUUUAAUAAACCUGUAUUUUCAUAAGUAUGGUAGUCGUAAAUACACAUUUAAUUUUAGAUAUUUAAACGUAAAUCGUUAAAUAUUAGUAGGGUGUGACAUGUUGUCACAACAAU